AGAGUUUGAUCCUGGCUCAGGACGAACGCUGGCGGCGCGCCUAACACAUGCAAGUCGAACGAGCGAGAGAGAGCUUGCUUUCUCGAGCGAGUGGCGAACGGGUGAGUAACGCGUGAGGAACCUGCCUCAAAGAGGGGGACAACAGUUGGAAACGACUGCUAAUACCGCAUAAGCCCACGGUGCCGCAUGGCACAGAGGGAAAAGGAGCAAUCCGCUUUGAGAUGGCCUCGCGUCCGAUUAGCUAGUUGGUGAGGUAACGGCCCACCAAGGCGACGAUCGGUAGCCGGACUGAGAGGUUGAACGGCCACAUUGGGACUGAGACACGGCCCAGACUCCUACGGGAGGCAGCAGUGGGGAAUAUUGCACAAUGGGGGAAACCCUGAUGCAGCGACGCCGCGUGGAGGAAGAAGGUUUUCGGAUUGUAAACUCCUGUCGUUAGGGACGAUAAUGACGGUACCUAACAAGAAAGCACCGGCUAACUACGUGCCAGCAGCCGCGGUAAAACGUAGGGUGCAAGCGUUGUCCGGAAUUACUGGGUGUAAAGGGAGCGCAGGCGGGAAGACAAGUUGGAAGUGAAAUCUAUGGGCUCAACCCAUAAACUGCUUUCAAAACUGUUUUUCUUGAGUAGUGCAGAGGUAGGUGGAAUUCCCGGUGUAGCGGUGGAAUGCGUAGAUAUCGGGAGGAACACCAGUGGCGAAGGCGACCUACUGGGCACCAACUGACGCUGAGGCUCGAAAGCAUGGGUAGCAAACAGGAUUAGAUACCCUGGUAGUCCAUGCCGUAAACGAUGAUUACUAGGUGUUGGAGGAUUGACCCCUUCAGUGCCGCAGUUAACACAAUAAGUAAUCCACCUGGGGAGUACGACCGCAAGGUUGAAACUCAAAGGAAUUGACGGGGGCCCGCACAAGCAGUGGAGUAU
rnacentral:rRNA from 1 species